UAAUUUGACUCAACGCGGGAAAUCUUACCGGGUCCGGACACACUGAGGAUUGACAGACAGUUUUUAUAUAUCGAAUUGGCGAGUAUAUUACAAAUAUGCUAGCUCUUUCAAGAUUGUGUGAUAGGUGGUGCAUGGCCGUUCUUAGUUCGUGGAGUGAUCUGUCUGCCCAAUCGCGUUUCAAAUUUACGAGUCGAGUUGUUGUGAGCUCUCGCGUUGGC
rnacentral:rRNA from 1 species